GGACAAGCGAAUAAGUGCACAUGGUGGAUGCCUUGGCGAUUACAGGCGAUGAAGGACGUAGUAGCUUGCGAUAAGCUGCGGGGAGUGAGCAAACACACUUUGAUCCGCAGAUUUCCGAAUGGGGCAACCCACCCUUUUAGGGUAUUGCAUACUGAAUACAUAGGUAUGCAAGGCGAACGCGGCGAACUGAAACAUCUAAGUAGCUGCAGGAAAAGAAAUCAACCGAGAUUCCCAAAGUAGCGGCGAGCGAAAUGGGAGGAGCCUGUACGUGAUAGUCGGACCGAUAACAGAAUCCUCUGGAAAUAGGAGCCAUAGUGGGUGAUAGCCCCGUAUGUGAAAUCGGACCGGUGGUACUAAGCGUACGACAAGUAGGGCGGGACACGUGACAUCCUGUCUGAAUAUGGGGGGACCAUCCUCCAAGGCUAAAUACUCGUAAUCG
rnacentral:rRNA from 1 species